UGCAUUGGCCAACAGCUACAAAUGUAGAGGAAAGUCCACGCUAGCACUUCCUGAGAUGGAAGUAGUGUUCAUGCUAAGCCCAAUAAGCUUAGGCCUAGACGACUAGUGCCACAGAGACGAGAAUUGUGAAACGCGGUAAACUCCAUGAGCUAGAAACCCAAAUUUUGGUAGGGGAACUUUUAAUUUAAGAAUUCAAUUAGUUAAAAGAGUUAGAAUUUUCUAACUAGAUAAAUUGUUGGCACCUAAAAGGUACAGAACGUGGCUUAUAGAU
rnacentral:RNase_P_RNA from 1 species